rnacentral:misc_RNA from 1 species
GAUGAAGAACGCAGCGAAAUGCGAUACUUGGUAUGAAUUGCAGAAUCCCGCGAAUCAUCGAGUUUUUGAACGCAAGUUGCGCCCGAAGCCAUUCGGCCGAGGGCACGUCUGCCUGGGUGUCACGCAUCGUUGCCCCCCCAAACUCCGGUUCGGGCGGGGCGGAAGUUGGCCUCCCGUGCGUGCCUGCGCGCGCGGUUAGCCCAAAAGCGAGUCCUCGGCGACGAGCGCCACGACAAUCGGUGGUUUUUUUACCCUCGUUCCUCGUCGUGCGUGUCCCGUCGCCCGAACGCGCUCUUGCGACCCUCACGCGUCGCCUCGGCGGCGCUCCCAACGCGACCCCAGGUCAGGCGGGACUACCCGCUGAGUUUAAGCAUAUCAAUAAGCGGAGGA